UACGGAGGGUGCGAGCGUUGUCCGGAAUCACUGGGCGUAAAGGGUGCGUAGGCGGUUUGAUAAGUCACGUGUGAAAUCCCGGUGCUCAACGCCGGGGCUGCAUGUGAGACUGUCAGACUAGAGCUCGGUAGAGGCAAGUGGAAUUCCCGGUGUAGCGGUGGAAUGCGUAGAUAUCGGGAAGAACACCGGUGGCGAAGGCGGCUUGCUGGGCCGAUGCUGACGCUGAGGCACGAAAGCGUGGGGAGCAAACAGG
rnacentral:rRNA from 1 species